rnacentral:rRNA from 1 species
ACGGGUGAGUAACACGUGGGUAACCUGCCUCAAAGAGGGGAAUAGCCUCCCGAAAGGGAGAUUAAUACCGCAUAAUAUGUUUUAAUCGCAUGAUUGAAACAUCAAAGGAACCUUCUUCGGAAGUUCCACUUUGAGAUGGACCCGCGGCGCAUUAGCUAGUUGGUGAGGUAACGGCUCACCAAGGCAACGAUGCGUAGCCGACCUGAGAGGGUGAUCGGCCACAUUGGAACUGAGACACGGUCCAGACUCCUACGGGAGGCAGCAGUGGGGAAUAUUGCGCAAUGGGGGAAACCCUGACGCAGCAACGCCGCGUGAAUGAUGAAGGCCUUCGGGUUGUAAAGUUCUGUCUUCUGGGACGAUAAUGACGGUACCAGAGGAGGAAGCCACGGCUAACUACGUGCCAGCAGCCGCGGUAAUACGUAGGUGGCAAGCGUUGUCCGGAUUUACUGGGCGUAAAGGAUGCGUAGGCGGACAUUUAAGUCAGAUGUGAAAUACCCGAGCUUAACUUGGGUGCUGCAUUUGAAACUGGGUGUCUAGAGUGCAGGAGAGGUAAGUGGAAUUCCUAGUGUAGCGGUGAAAUGCGUAGA